GAUGAACGCUGGCGGCGUGCUUAACACAUGCAAGUCGAGCGAAGCACUUUACUUGGAUUUCUUCGGAAUGACGAGUAUUGUGACUGAGCGGCGGACGGGUGAGUAACGCGUGGGUAACCUGCCUCAUACAGGGGGAUAACAGGUAGAAAUGACUGCUAAUACCGCAUAAGACCACAGCACCGCAUGGUGCAGGGGCAAAAACUCCGGUGGUAUGAGAUGGACCCGCGUCUGAUUAGCUAGUUGGUGGGGUAACGGCCUACAAAGGCAACGAUCAGUAGCCGGCCUGGGAGGGCGACCGGCCACAUUGGGACUGAGACACGGCCCAAACUCCUACGGGAGGCAGCAGUGGGGAAUAUUGCACAAUGGGGGAAACCCUGAUGCAGCGACGCCGCGUGAAGGAAGAAGUAUUUCGGUAUGUAAACUUCUAUCAGCAGGGAAGAAAAUGACGGUACCUGACUAAGAAGCCCCGGCUAACUACGUGCCAGCCGCCGCGGUAA
rnacentral:rRNA from 1 species